GCCAGUGAGCCUCUUUUAUCUCUUGUCCUAUGUUCAUACUUUUGUAAAGAUCAUACCUGAUUCUCAAAGGAUACAGAAAACAGAAAGCUUUUGGGUGAUUCCUAAAUUAUUUGGGAAGUUCUCCUGAGAAGGAAGGUGAACUAACUUUGAAGGAAGGUUCCUUUUCCUGUGAAGAGAAAGAAGACCAAAACUCUGUCUCAAGCUGCCUCCUUCAGUCAGUUAACCAUUUUAAAUUCACCUUUCUCAUAAUGGAUGCAGGAAACUCAAAUCAUACCAGCACAGACAUUGUUAUUAGUGAGGAA